CCUACGGGUGGCUGCAGUGGGGAAUAUUGCGCAAUGGGCGAAAGCCUGACGCAGCGACGCCGCGUGAGGGAUGAAGGUCUUCGGAUCGUAAACCUCUGUCAGCAGGGAAGAACGGUCACUGUGCUAAUCAGCAGUGAAUUGACGGUACCUGCAAAGGAAGCACCGGCUAACUCCGUGCCAGCAGCCGCGGUAAUACGGGGGGCGCGAGCGUUAAUCGGAAUUACUGGGCGAAAAGCGCUCGUAGGCGGUCCGUUAAGUCAGCGGUAAAAUUGCGGGGCCCAACCCCGUCGAGCCGUUGAAACUGGCAGACUUGAGUUGGCGAGAGGUACGCGGAAUGCGCGGUGUAGCGGUGAAAUGCAUAGAUAUCGCGCAGAACUCCGAUUGCGAAGGCAGUGUACCGGCGCCAGACUGACGCUGAGGCACGAAAGCGUGGGGAUCGAACAGGAUUAGAUACCCCAGUAGUC
rnacentral:rRNA from 1 species